CAAACGGGUGAGUAACACGUGGGCGACCUGCCUUCGAGUGGGGGAUAACCUUCCGAAAGGAGGGCUAAUACCGCAUGACAUCCCGUGUUUGGAUACACGGUGAUCAAAGCCGGGGAUCGCAAGACCUGGCGCUUGAAGAGGGGCCCGCGUCCGAUUAGCUUGUUGGUGAGGUAACGGCUCACCAAGGCUCCGAUCGGUAGCCGGCCUGAGAGGGCGGACGGCCACACUGGGACUGAGACACGGCCCAG
rnacentral:rRNA from 1 species